GACGAACGCUAGCGGCAGGCUUAAUACAUGCAAGUCAAGGGGGUAGCAAUACAACCGGCGCACGGGUGAGUAACGCGUACACAACAUACCAUAUACUGGAGUAUAGCUUUGGGAAACUGAAGGUAAUCCUCCAUAACAUUGCGAGAGGGCAUCUGAUUGCAAUUAAAGUUCCGACGGUAUAUGAUUGGUGUGCGUUUGAUUAGCUAGUUGGUAGGGUAACGGCCUACCAAGGCGACGAUCAAUAGCUGGCGUGAGAGCGCGACCAGCCACACUGGAACUGAGACACGGUCCAGACUCCUACGGGAGGCAGCAGUAGGGAAUAUUGGACAAUGGGCGAAAGCCUGAUCCAGCCAUGCCGCGUGAUAGAUGAAGGCCCUCUGGGUUGUAAAUAUCUUUUAUCUGGGAAGAAACUCCUCUAUUCUUAGAGGCCUGACGGUACCAGAGGAAUAAGCACCGGCUAACUCCGUGCCAGCAGCCGCGGU
rnacentral:rRNA from 1 species